UCGCCCUGGACGCGCGCAAUGCUGGCCCCCGUCAUCCUGGUCCUGGCCGUGGCCGCGUGGACCGGAGCGCGCGCGCAGGGAGCUGAGAGUGGGUGCCCAGCCCGCUCAAGCGUCGAAGAAAACGACGGUUGGACUGGCUGCAUGAGGGCCAACGCUCCAAACUGCCGUAAUAGUGGUACGGAAGAAUGCUGGAAACACACGUGCGACUGCAUGGACAACACCACCCGGGACACGUACGAUCAGUACACGGAGGACGGAACGUGCAAGGAAGCAUUCGAGCGGUGUACACAAUUUGACACGAGCGAAGCAUGCUAUCGUAAAUGCAGCACGGACUACCACAAGUGCAUAUGCGUGUGUGAGAUGAACCGUACCGGUGGGGCGAAAGGCAGCACCACUGAGACAACGAGAAUGGACAGCAACACCGAGGCGUCACCACUGAGUAGCACUGCCAAGGUUACAACAUUAAGGAGCACACAUGGUGACAGCACCGAGGUUACAAUCGUGAAAAGUACCGACGAGGCUGCGACAAAUAUCCCCAGUCGCUAUCAGGGCUUUGAUUCAAAUGAACCGUGGAUCUAUGUGGUGCCCUGCGUGGUCGUGGUGGUGAUUGUGAGUUUUAUUGCGGGACUGUAUAUGUGUGUAUCACGAGCAAACAGGAGACGGCCCCAGCCUGAUGAACCGUCAGAGCCCCAAGUAAACGCGGUGGAGGGAGAAAGUUCGGCCAAAUACUGGGAGGCGAUCAACUUCAACUUCAUCGAUGAAGCAGACGAAGACAAAAUACUGCAACCCAGUGACGGAUUACCAUCCCCCCUGGAAGUGCGCGAGACAGUAGCCCCGGUGGAAGGUUCCGGACUUUUAACUAUACCCGUACAACACACUGUACCAUACGGUGCCCUGAAUACCUGAGAACAGCUUACAGUGUGCUCAUUCCUACUCACGUGAGUAGCAGUACUUAUUUGAGUAUAGUAGAUUACUCUUGAGAUCAAUAUCACGUAGUGAUUCACGCCUUGCACGAGUGUCGUUAUCAUCUCUUUUGGUCCAUAUCAAUGAAUGGCUAGGAGUCGCAGGAUGUGGCGGCUGAAAGCCGUCAGUAAUAGUUUUGCGGCAACUCGUUGUGGACAUGCUGUUCCCCGUCAUCCUGGUCCUGGCCGUGGCCGCGAGGCCCGGAGCAGCUUGCAGAGCGCGAAGCCCGCCGAGAUUGGGACUUGCCUAGCACGCUCAAAACACGAGGAAUACAGCCAUUGGGCCAACUGCACGAAGGCCAACGCUUCACACUGCAGAGUUAGUGCUGAAACGAGAGAAUGCUGGAAAGAGGAGCGACUGCAUGAUCAAGAGCACGCGGGACAAAUACGACCAGUGCGAACGGUGCAAUGGAACACUGAAUCAGUGUAAAGAACUGCUGACUGCUAUUAUCAGUGUGCCUGAUACACUAAAUAAUGAUGGGUAACAUGAUUAUUUGCAGCGUCGCAAAGAGUUGACGAGCUUUGAAUUGCAAAGCAUUAAAUCGUGUUUCAAACUGAGUGUUACGAAUUGCAAAGAAAUAGUUUGCAAGGCAAGGAGGAACUAGUUCAUAUUAGAAUGCUUCAAAAUUCUUUGCAAGUUGCAAAGCAAAUCUUUGUCAAUACUAAGCACACAGUACACUCAUCGUGUAUUUACCCUGCAUUCAGCGUUAACUAAACACUGUGUAAGCUAAACAUGUCAACAGAAAUCAGUAAGCUAUGAUAAAAGAGUUCAUGAGAUUUGAGUGUGUGCUCAUGCACUCUCCAUGAAAUAUUUAUAAGAUGAAUCAGCGUAAGCUAUCGCCCUGUACUUAUACUGUACGUCUUCCAUUUAAACUCAUCCUUUACUGCUUUACUCGUGUGUUAACCGGUGUACUCAUCUGUGAUCAUGUGUACUCGGGCCUAUUCUCGGGUGCUCAGUACAGCUUAUUUUGUACUCAAUAUACUGCUCCGUGUCCUCCAGACUCAUGUGAGAACAGUACCCACAUGUGUUCAAAAAUAUCUUAGUGAUUCACCCCUUGGGCCUCGUGGCCCAACCUACAUACGGCCUACACGACCACUUAAAGUAUCCCCUCCCCCCCUCUUUGUCCCCUGUCCCCUGAGCCUCUCCAAAAGGCAUCAGGCUUGCAGGCGGAGGCAUCGCCAUUCAACGCGCAGGGGGUAGAAACGGGGAGGGGGACAUAGAGAUAGGAAGAGUGAGAGAGAAGGGAACAGGGAGAGAGGGAGAGAGAGAGAGGCGGAGAGGAAGAGAGAACUGGGUUACACAUAAAGGGCCCAGAA